UACAGAGGUUUCAAGCGUUGUUCGGAUUCAUUGGGCGUAAAGGGCGUGUAGGUGGCUCCGUAAGUCGGGUGUGAAAUUUCGGAGCUUAACUCCGAAACUGCAUUCGAUACUGCGGUGCUUGAGGACUGGAGAGGAGACUGGAAUUCAUGGUGUAGCAGUGAAAUGCGUAGAGAUCAUGAGGAAGACCAGUGGCGAAGGCGGGUCUCUGGACAGGUCCUGACGCUGAGGCACGGAGGCCAGGGGAGCAAACAGG
rnacentral:rRNA from 1 species